UUGGAAAACUCACGUUAGAUAUUCUUCUGAGUUGGAUUUGCUGCCAACAAAUUCUCUUGGUUUACUGAGGUUGUUGCUGACUGCCUGGACCACCCAGCCCUGGCUCUUGAGGUCCCAACAGACCAGAUUUGGCCACCUGCUGCCUUCAGGAUCCAAUGAGAGAAAAGAAUGGCGGUGAAACAAAGAAGGGAUUCAUUUUUGGUGCAAUCAUCUGGAAAGACAGCAGGUCUACUGACCUCGUGAGAAAACUGCAUCUGAGGAAUGGACAGCAGCUUCAGGAUUAUACAACAGAACUACAGUAGGAGGCAAAAGUAUGCAGCCGGUCACUCUUGGUCACACUGGGGUACGUCCAGUCCCGCAAGGUCACACUGUCACCGAGGAAGAUAACUGCUUGCAAGUUUCUCUGUUCCUGAAGUUUGAGAGAAGGCAGAAGGAAAAAUGACUCAGAGAAAACAGGCCAGAGAAAAAUAGAGUUAGUUGGCCAUUUAGAAUGUAUAACAUCGAUACUCUCCAGCCCCUUUCCACUGGGUAAUUUACCCAACCCUCUGCUGCAGUGCCCAAGGAGGCAGCCAGACAUGAAGCAGGCAGGGUGGAGCCACCUUGGAAGCUCCCAAGAAAAAGCAGAGUCUUCAGGACAUGGGAGGAACCUCUGUGUCUCACUACCUUCUCCUCUGCAUGGGAAGACAGUGCAGAAUCCAGGCUGUCAUUAACACUCCACCUUACAAGUUUUCACAGACUAUAUUUCUUUUCCUUCCUUGCAGCUAAAUAAUGGCAUGUGACUGAUAGCCACUGAGCACUUUCAUGUUCGUGAUGUAACAAAGUAAAGAUUUUUAAAUGUUUGCUCUUUUAUUUUUGUUUGUUUGUUUGUUGAGACAGGGACUCAUUAUGUAGUUCACAAGGAGCACCUCACUACAUAGUUCAGGCUGGCCUUGAACUCCCAGCAAUUUUCUUGCUUCAGCCUACCAAGUGCUGGGAUCACAGGCAUGCACCACCAUGCCUGAAAAUUUUUAGUCUUCCUGAGACUUAAGAAGUUUCUGGAAUUUAAGGAUUGGAUUAAUCCAUUCUGGGAAAUUCCCAUAUAUAUUGGUAUUCAUAUACAUAUAUCCCAUAUAUUUUCAUAUAUUUUGGUACUGGGAAUCAAACUCAGAGCCUGGUGCUUGCCAGGCAGGCACUGUGCCACGGAGCUAUAUUCCCAGCCAGAAAACUGUAUUUAAAAUAUUGCUCAUCUCUUCUCGGC
rnacentral:lncRNA from 1 species